AGCUUUGUGCAGUGUCAGGAUCAUAGCCAAUGAGGUUUAUCUGAGGCACGAUUAUUGCUAAUUGAAAAUUUUGUGAAACUGUCCUUAUUCUCACCUGUAUCCCUUAUUGUUCGCCUUUUUAUUUUAUUUAUUUUUAAGAGAGA
rnacentral:snRNA from 1 species